CAUUAAGUUGCUUAAAGUAAGCAUUGAUCUCUUAAAUCAAAUUAUAAUAAUUAACGAUUAUUCUUAAUGA
rnacentral:tRNA from 1 species